GUUCAGCUGACGAGUCCCAAAUAGGACAAAACGCACGCCCUGCAU
rnacentral:hammerhead_ribozyme from 1 species